rnacentral:lncRNA from 1 species
CCCGUAUAGUAUGAAGAUACAUGGCCGUAACUUUUCAAAUGAGGUAAACGCCAUACGAUGGGACAGAUGGUACAGAUAUGUCACUGCUAAGACAUAAACAUUUGGAAAGUGGAAAUUAUCAUGUGUGAAGUCGUCCAACUGAGCAGAACUUCUAUAUUUAACAAUAUCAAAUUAUGUCAGGUUCAUUGAUAUGUUUUAGAUAUAAACACUCAUGAAAUCGGAUAUCUUUAAGUUAAAUUAAAGAACUUUGCCUUACGCUAUUCGAACAGGAUUGCACAUUUUACAGCAAAUUUAUAUGAUUAGUAGCAAUGCUACAUCUACAUCUAACUGACACUGCUUGUUGCAAUUAUAUCUUCACAAUAUUUCUGAAGCCAUCUGUAUCUGUUGAUAAUAUUGAUAUUUUGUACAGCUAAUAUAAUGAAACGUAA